rnacentral:rRNA from 1 species
CAUGCAAGUCGAGCGGGUUUGUCCUUCGGGACAAGCUAGCGGCGGACGGGUGAGUAACACGUAGGCAACCUGCCUUUAAGACUGGGAUAACUAUCGGAAACGAUAGCUAAGACCGGAUAACUGGUUUUCUCGCAUGAGAGAAUCAUGAAACACGGAGCAAUCUGUGGCUUAAAGAUGGGCCUGCGGCGCAUUAGCUUGUUGGUGAGGUAACGGCUCACCAAGGCGACGAUGCGUAGCCGACCUGAGAGGGUGAACGGCCACACUGGGACUGAGACACGGCCCAGACUCCUACGGGAGGCAGCAGUAGGGAAUCUUCCGCAAUGGACGCAAGUCUGACGGAGCAACGCCGCGUGAGUGAUGAAGGUUUUCGGAUCGUAAAGCUCUGUUGCCCUAGACGAACAGCAUGAGGAGUAACUGCCUUGUGUGUGACGGUAUAGGAGAAGAAAGCCCCGGCUAACUACGUGCCAGC